AGGAAAAGAAACCAACAGGGAUUGCCUUAGUAGCGGCGAGUGAAGCGGCAAAAGCUCAAAUUUGAAAUCUGGCGCCUUCGGUGUCCGAGUUGUAAUUUGAAGAUUGUAACCUUGGGGUUGGCUCUUGUCUAUGUUUCUUGGAACAGGACGUCACAGAGGGUGAGAAUCCCGUGCGAUGAGAUGCCCAAUUCUAUGUAAGGUGCUUUCGAAGAGUCGAGUUGUUUGGGAAUGCAGCUCUAAGUGGGUGGUAAAUUCCAUCUAAAGCUAAAUAUUGGCGAGAGACCGAUAGCGAACAAGUACAGUGAUGGAAAGAUGAAAAGAACUUUGAAAAGAGAGUGAAAAAGUACGUGAAAUUGUUGAAAGGGAAGGGUUUGAGAUCAGACUCGAUAUUUUGUGAGCCUUGCCUUCGUGGCGGGGUGACCCGCAGCUUAUCGGGCCAGCAUCGGUUUGGGCGGUAGGAUAAUGGCGUAGGAAUGUGACUUUACUUCGGUGAAGUGUUAUAGCCUGCGUUGAUGCUGCCUGCCUAGACCGAGGACUGCGAUUUUAUCAAGGAUGCUGGCAUAAUGAUCCCAAACCGCCCGUCU
rnacentral:rRNA from 1 species